GAUCAUGGCUCAGGACGAACGCUGGCGGCGUGCUUAACACAUGCAAGUCGAACGAGAAUCUACUGAAAGAGUUUUCGGACAAUGGAAGUAGAGGAAAGUGGCGGACGGGUGAGUAACGCGUGAGGAACCUGCCUUGAAGAGGGGGACAACAGUUGGAAACGACUGCUAAUACCGCAUGAAGCAUAGGGGUCGCAUGAUUCUUAUGCCAAAGAUUUAUCGCUUCAAGAUGGCCCUCG
rnacentral:rRNA from 1 species